rnacentral:rRNA from 1 species
CGGCGGUGGCUACAAGCCCUGCUGAGGAGCUUCCCGGAAACGAAAGUCUUCCGGUUCCGGGGGAAGUAUGGUUGCAAAGCUGAAACUUAAAGGAAUUGACGGAAGGGCACCACCAGGAGUGGAGCCUGCGGCUUAAUUUGACUCAACACGGGAAAACUCACCCGGCCCGGACACCGUAAGGAUUGACAGAUUGAUAGCUUUUUCAUGAUUCGGUGGUUGGUGGUGCAUGGCCGUUCUUAGUUCGUGGAUCGAUUUGUCUGGUUUAUUCCGAUAACGAGCGAGACUCCAGCCUACUAACUAGUACGAGCAUUGCCUCUGUGCUCGGCACUUCUUAGAGGGAUUGACUGCGUCUAGCGGUACGAAACGGAGCAAUAACAGGUCUGUGAUGCCCUUAGAUGUCCGGGGCUGCACGCGCGCUACACUGGCAAAGGCAACGUGCUUGUCCGUCUCCGAAAGGAGCCGGUAAACCCUUGAAAAUUUGCCGUGAUUGGGAUCGGAAAUUGCAAUUAUUUUCCGUGAACGAGG